rnacentral:rRNA from 1 species
CAAUAGGUCGAUGGCGACCGGCGCACGGGUGAGUAACACGUAUCCAACCUACCGGUUAUUCCGGGAUAGCCUUUCGAAAGAAAGAUUAAUACCGGAUAGUAUAACGAGAAGGCAUCUUCUUGUUAUUAAAGAAUUUCGAUAACCGAUGGGGAUGCGUUCCAUUAGUUUGUUGGCGGGGUAACGGCCCACCAAGACAUCGAUGGAUAGGGGUUCUGAGAGGAAGGUCCCCCACAUUGGAACUGAGACACGGUCCAA